rnacentral:rRNA from 2 species
UACGAAAGGUGCAAGCGUUACUCGGAAUCACUGGGCGUAAAGCGCACGUAGGCGGACUCGUAGGUCAAUUGUGAAAUACCUGGGCUCAACCCGGGAACUGCAGUUGAAACCGCUUGUCUUGAAUACCUGAGAGGGUGGGGGAAUACCUGGUGGAGAAGUGAAAUUCGUAGAGAUCAGGUGGAACACCGGAGGCGAAGGCGCCUGCCUGGCAGUGUAUUGACGCUGAGGUGCGAAAGUGCGGGGAGCAAACAGG